GAUUGUUCUUCUGGUGUUAGGUCCAACAUAUUCUUCAAGAUACUCCUGCAUAUCACAUACAAAGAGAAAUUGCAUGAGUUAGCUAAGAAUGACAUUGUCUUUCUAGUUUAAAAUUAGUAAAUAUGAAUGAGCUUAGAAAAUGUGAAAUGUAUAUCAAUAUUGUUUUCAACUGAAUGUCAAAAAUUCAUGUGAGCCAGGGAACUCUUAAUAUGGGAAGUAGCAAAGAUGCCAACUGCAGCCCGAACAAAUUCUUAUUGCAUUACCAACGGUUCCAAAUAAAUCAGUUUUCUUCACCAGUCAAAUAUCCAGAAUACAUAUGUAGCAAAACGAAGAGAGAAUCGAAAGCAUCUUUUACCCUUGAGUAGUGGGUGUCCAAGUCAACAGCCGCCCUUUGCUCAGGAGUUUUGGCCCGUAAGAAACGGAUUGCAACAGAUAAUGUUCGUCGAUCGAACUGCAAGAAAAAAAAAAGAGUAAAAAUUGACCAUCUUUUCGAGAAAUAAGUUCAAUGACAAAAUUUAGGUAUUAAACAUAAGAAACUCUGGUCUUAUGACAAUUAGGGUGUUAGUAUACCAGUGGGAUUUAAUUUAUCCAAGGAUUAAAGUUAGCUUUUAUUAGGAUUUGUGUUAUAAAUCCUAGUAACUCUUUUAAGGAUUUGCAAGUAGGAAUAUCAACUUAGGUUUUGCUAUUGUCGUGUUAUUCUCGUUCUUUUCUUCUUCCUUCUCUUCUUUCUCUUUUCUUAUUCUCCUUUUGUUCUCAGCUUUCUGCACUACUUCGUUAUUUCUUUACUUCUUUAUAUAAAAAUUUUUAUUUUCAUAUCCCUGAAUUUUCCCACACCACUUAUAAUAAUAAUAAUAAAAAAACCUUUCCACACCAAAGCCAUCUUCAUAACACCCCAAAACCUACUACCUAGAUAUUCCUGUACUAUAUUCUUUAUUUUCUGUGUCCUGCUUUCAAAACUCCAGCUUUUACAAAAUGCUAUUUACCAGCAGUCACGAUCAUAACCCACCAUUUUCUUUGUAAGACAGUCCAUUAGCAAAUGAUCCUGAGGUAGAUCUUUGUUACUUUCCCUACUAUUACAGAAUAAUGCAUCCUGCACCUAGACAAUUAUUGGACUUCUCGUGUACUACAAUGGUUGAUAUAAUAAUCUCACAUGAAAUUGCAACUUGAGUGGGCUUGGCUGGAAUCAAGACCAAAUUGAACUGACCUAAGGAUAGUAAAGAUGCCCACAGCUGCCCACAGCUUAACUCCUAUACCAUGUUGUGGAUUCUUAAUUUAAGCUUCAGCCCAGAUAGCCUAGUAAAGAUUGAAUUACACUAUGUUUGAUUUUGGUGUUCCUAAAUCCAGGACAAGGAUGAUUAAUGUCUGCUUUCCAAAUGAAAUACUGAUGGUAGGACGUUACAACAACUUUCAAUGUCUUGAAGGAAAACGAAGUUAACAAGUUACCAGCAUAAAGAGCUACAGAUUGACAGAAAAGACAUUUGAAACCAAUGAAGGAGACUAUAUAUGAUAUAGUGCAAAGGAGCAUAUAUUAGCCUUGCAAAUCAGACAGCCUUCAACGCUGCUCCUCCCGGCUCACAAUUUAUCUCCUCCAGCACUCAUUAUUCACCCCCAUUUAGUUCUAUAUGAACCUAAAGAAGUUUUGGUGUACAUAGAAUUGUUUCAUGAGAUGAAUUAUGACAGUAGUGCAACAGAUUCCAACUGUAUGCAGUCAUACUUGAUCAUCAAAUCAUGCAGUAGCAGUUCUAGUUCCCGAUGUUUCACAGUGGAAGGUCAAUUGUUUCUAGACCUUGGUUUUUCACUGCAUAAGCAAUACCCAGAUUGGAGUGUAAAAAUUACAAGCUUUAAUUAUUUAAAGGAUAUAUGGCAAAUUUUGUCCCCGGCCAAUGUCAUUUAAAGCCCUCUAAGAGAAAAUUUGAACAAAGAUGAACUAGACAUUUGAAACCAACAUGGAUUCAAAUGCGAUAUGUUGUUCACGGUGAACUGAAAAUAUUAAAAUUUAUGCACUUAUAAAUAAAAUGGAUGCGGAGCUGUAUUUGUUU